GCCUAUGGCUGUACAUUCCUGAAUGCACCUGAUCUUGUCUGAUCUUGGAAGCUAAGCAGGGUCAGGCCUGGUUAGUACUUGGAUGGGGGAACAGGGAGCUUCUAGCUUCCUUAGUGC
ensembl:rRNA 5S_rRNA 5S ribosomal RNA